rnacentral:rRNA from 1 species
UACGGGAGGCAGCAGUGGGGAAUAUUGCACAAUGGGCGCAAGCCUGAUGCAGCCAUGCCGCGUGUAUGAAGAAGGCCUUCGGGUUGUAAAGUACUUUCAGUCGUGAGGAAGGUGUUAAGGUUAAUAACCUUAGCAAUUGACGUUAGCGACAGAAGAAGCACCGGCUAACUCCGUGCCAGCAGCCGCGGUAAUACGGAGGGUGCGAGCGUUAAUCGGAAUUACUGGGCGUAAAGGGCACGCAGGCGGUUAAUUAAGUUGGAUGUGAAAUCCCCGGGCUUAACCUGGGAAUGGCAUUCAAGACUGGUUAGCUAGAGUCUUGUAGAGGGGGUAGAAUUCCAUGUGUAGCGGUGAAAUGCGUAGAGAUGUGGAGGAAUACCGGGUGGCGAAGGCGGCCCCUGGGACAAAGGACUGACGCUCAUGUGCGAAAGCGUGGGGAGCAAACGAGGAUUAGAU